UACAGAGGGGGCAAGCGUUAUUCGGAAUUAUUGGGCGUAAAGGGCGCGUAGGCGGCUUGGCAAGUGGAUGGUGAAAUCCCUCGGCUUAACCGAGGAACUGCCGUCCAAACUGCUUCGCUUGAGGCCGGGAGAGGUGAGUGGAAUUCCCAGUGUAGCGGUGAAAUGCGUAGAUAUUGGGAGGAACACCAGUGGCGAAGGCGGCUCACUGGACCGGUACUGACGCUGAAGCGCGAAAGCGUGGGGAGCAAACAGG
rnacentral:rRNA from 1 species